GCGGGGGGGCUUCCCGCUCCCGCAAGGCCGAAUGGGCAGCCGAGACAACUUGGGUACAGACCCAGCUGCAAUCUGCUCUCCGGUUGUGGGGCAUCCCCAUCUGACACCUGGGCCCAGCUGGCUGAGAUUCCAGGCUGGAUCUACCUACACGGUUCACCCUGAAGCCUCUCUGUUCCCUCUGCUCUUCCUGCGUGUCCUUCCUUCUCCUGACUCCAGAUGAUUCCCUGAGGCUGCUUCUCCUUGAGAGAUGCUUGGGAUGCCCUGACCCCUCCACCCGUAUUCUAACCCACCACAUGCCCGAGGCCCAGUGUGGCCUAGACUCAACAAAGAGCGAAGUUUACUAACAAAACUAAUUAAAAAACAAUCCCCCCUUAAAAAGGGGUGUCUGGGUAGCUUGGCGGGUUAAGGCUCCGACUCUUGAUUUCGGCUCAAGGCGUGAUCUCACGGUUCCUGGGAUCUAGCCCCAGACUGUGAGCCUCUUGAAGGAUCCUGUCCCUGUCACCUGUGGACCCUGUAUUCAGCAGCACAAGUUCUGGCACAGAGUAGGUGCUCAGCGAAUGGACAUUUCUCAGAGGAAUUUCCCCCAUUUCUCAGAUGGGGAAACCACUUAUAAAAGGGCACUCAGUAACAAUGCAAUCUUGAAAAAGAACAAAGUUGGAGAACUCACACUUCCCGGUUCCAAGACUUACUACAAAGCUACAGUCAUCAAGACAGCAUAGUACCAAAACAAGGAUCGAUGCACGGAUCAGUGGAGUAGAACUGAGAAUCCAGAAAUAACCCCUCACACGUAUAGUCAGUUGACUUUCUAGAAGUGUGCCAAAACAAUUCAAUAGGGAAACAGUCGUCUUUCCCACAAAUGGUGCUGAGAUACCCACAUGCAGACGUUCGAUCCCUACCUCACACGAUAUACAAAAGGAAUUAAAAAUAGGUCUCAGGCCUAAAUGUAAGAGCUAAAACUACACGGCUUUUAAGAGAAAACAUAGACCUAAACCUUCAUGACCUUGCGUUUAUGUCCUAAUCAAAAAAGAACCUACUGG